GACGAACGCUGGCGGCGUGCCUAAUACAUGCAAGUCGAGCGCAGGAAGUCAUCCGAACCCUUCGGGGGGACGUUGACGGAAUGAGCGGCGGACGGGUGAGUAACACGUAAAGAACCUGCCCUCAGGUCUGGGAUAACCACGAGAAAUCGGGGCUAAUACCGGAUGGGUCAUCGGACCGCAUGGUCCGAGGAUGAAAGGCGCUCCGGCGUCGCCUGGGGAUGGCUUUGCGGUGCAUUAGCUAGUUGGUGGGGUAAUGGCCCACCAAGGCGACGAUGCAUAGCCGACCUGAGAGGGUGAUCGGCCACACUGGGACUGAGACACGGCCCAGACUCCUACGGGAGGCAGCAGUAGGGAAUCUUCCACAAUGGACGAAAGUCUGAUGGAGCAACGCCGCGUGAACGAUGAAGGCCCUCGGGUCGUAAAGUUCUGUUGCAAGGGAAGAACAAGUGCCGCAGGCAAUGGCGGCACCUUGACGGUACCUUGCGAGAAAGCCACGGCUAACUACGUG
rnacentral:rRNA from 1 species